GACGAACGCUGGCGGCGUGCUUAACACAUGCAAGUCGAACGGAAAGGCCCUGCUUUUGUGGGGUGCUCGAGUGGCGAACGGGUGAGUAACACGUGAGUAACCUGCCCUUGACUUUGGGAUAACUUCAGGAAACUGGGGCUAAUACCGGAUAGGAGCUCCUGCUGCAUGGUGGGGGUUGGAAAGUUUCGGCGGUUGGGGAUGGACUCGCGGCUUAUCAGCUUGUUGGUGGGGUAGUGGCUUACCAAGGCUUUGACGGGUAGCCGGCCUGAGAGGGUGACCGGCAACAUGGGGAAGAAGAUACGGACCAGACGCCUACGGGAGGCAGCAGUGGGGAAGAUGGGACAAUGGCCGGAAGCCUGAUGCAGCAACGCGGCGUGGGGGAUGACGGCGUUAGGGUUGUAAAACGAUUUCGCAUGUGACGAAGCGUGAGUGACGGUAAUGGGUAAAGAAGCAACGGAUAACUACGU
rnacentral:rRNA from 1 species